rnacentral:rRNA from 1 species
GGGUUGUGAGGUUAAGCGACUAAGCGUACACGGUGGAUGCCCUGGCAGUCAGAGGCGAUGAAGGACGUGCUAAUCUGCGAUAAGCGUCGGUAAGGUGAUAUGAACCGUUAUAACCGGCGAUUUCCGAAUGGGGAAACCCAGUGUGAUUCGUCACACUAUCAUUAACUGAAUCCAUAGGUUAAUGAGGCGAACCGGGGGAACUGAAACAUCUAAGUACCCCGAGGAAAAGAAAUCAACCGAGAUUCCCCCAGUAGCGGCGAGCGAACGGGGAGCAGCCCAGAGCCUGAAUCAGUGUGUGUGUUAGUGGAAGCGUCUGGAAAGGCGCGCGAUACAGGGUGACAGCCCCGUACACAAAAAUGCACAUGCUGUGAGCUCGAUGAGUAGGGCGGGACACGUGGUAUCCUGUCUGAAUAUGGGGGGACCAUCCUCCAAGGCUAAAUACUCCUGACUGACCGAUAGUGAACCAGUACCGUGAGGGAAAGGCGAAAAGAACCCCGGCGAGGGGAGUGAAAAAGAACCUGAAACCGUGUACGUACAAGCAGUGGGAGCACGCUUAGGCGUGUGACUGCGUACCUUUUGUAUAAUGGGUCAGCGACUUAUAUUCUGUAGCAAGGUUAACCGAAUAGGGGAGCCGAAGGGAAACCGAGUCUUAACUGGGCGUUAAGUUGCAGGGUAUAGACCCGAAACCCGGUGAUCUAGCCAUGGGCAGGUUGAAGGUUGGGUAACACUAACUGGAGGACCGAACCGACUAAUGUUGAAAAAUUAGCGGAUGACUUGUGGCUGGGGGUGAAAGGCCAAUCAAACCGGGAGAUAGCUGGUUCUCCCCGAAAGCUAUUUAGGUAGCGCCUCGUGAAUUCAUCUCCGGGGGUAGAGCACUGUUUCGGCAAGGGGGUCAUCCCGACUUACCAACCCGAUGCAAACUGCGAAUACCGGAGAAUGUUAUCACGGGAGACACACGGCGGGUGCUAACGUCCGUCGUGAAGAGGGAAACAACCCAGACCGCCAGCUAAGGUCCCAAAGUCAUGGUUAAGUGGGAAACGAUGUGGGAAGGCCCAGACAGCCAGGAUGUUGGCUUAGAAGCAGCCAUCAUUUAAAGAAAGCGUAAUAGCUCACUGGUCGAGUCGGCCUGCGCGGAAGAUGUAACGGGGCUAAACCAUGCACCGAAGCUGCGGCAGCGACGCUUAUGCGUUGUUGGGUAGGGGAGCGUUCUGUAAGCCUGUGAAGGUGUACUGUGAGGUAUGCUGGAGGUAUCAGAAGUGCGAAUGCUGACAUAAGUAACGAUAAAGCGGGUGAAAAGCCCGCUCGCCGGAAGACCAAGGGUUCCUGUCCAACGUUAAUCGGGGCAGGGUGAGUCGACCCCUAAGGCGAGGCCGAAAGGCGUAGUCGAUGGGAAACAGGUUAAUAUUCCUGUACUUGGUGUUACUGCGAAGGGGGGACGGAGAAGGCUAUGUUGGCCGGGCGACGGUUGUCCCGGUUUAAGCGUGUAGGCUGGUUUUCCAGGCAAAUCCGGAAAAUCAAGGCUGAGGCGUGAUGACGAGGCACUACGGUGCUGAAGCAACAAAUGCCCUGCUUCCAGGAAAAGCCUCUAAGCAUCAGGUAACAUCAAAUCGUACCCCAAACCGACACAGGUGGUCAGGUAGAGAAUACCAAGGCGCUUGAGAGAACUCGGGUGAAGGAACUAGGCAAAAUGGUGCCGUAACUUCGGGAGAAGGCACGCUGAUAUGUAGGUGAAGCGACUUGCUCGUGGAGCUGAAAUCAGUCGAAGAUACCAGCUGGCUGCAACUGUUUAUUAAAAACACAGCACUGUGCAAACACGAAAGUGGACGUAUACGGUGUGACGCCUGCCCGGUGCCGGAAGGUUAAUUGAUGGGGUUAGCGGUAACGCGAAGCUCUUGAUCGAAGCCCCGGUAAACGGCGGCCGUAACUAUAACGGUCCUAAGGUAGCGAAAUUCCUUGUCGGGUAAGUUCCGACCUGCACGAAUGGCGUAAUGAUGGCCAGGCUGUCUCCACCCGAGACUCAGUGAAAUUGAACUCGCUGUGAAGAUGCAGUGUACCCGCGGCAAGACGGAAAGACCCCGUGAACCUUUACUAUAGCUUGACACUGAACAUUGAGCCUUGAUGUGUAGGAUAGGUGGGAGGCUUAGAAGUGUGGACGCCAGUCUGCAUGGAGCCGACCUUGAAAUACCACCCUUUAAUGUUUGAUGUUCUAACGUUGACCCGUAAUCCGGGUUGCGGACAGUGUCUGGUGGGUAGUUUGACUGGGGCGGUCUCCUCCUAAAGAGUAACGGAGGAGCACGAAGGUUGGCUAAUCCUGGUCGGACAUCAGGAGGUUAGUGCAAUGGCAUAAGCCAGCUUGACUGCGAGCGUGACGGCGCGAGCAGGUGCGAAAGCAGGUCAUAGUGAUCCGGUGGUUCUGAAUGGAAGGGCCAUCGCUCAACGGAUAAAAGGUACUCCGGGGAUAACAGGCUGAUACCGCCCAAGAGUUCAUAUCGACGGCGGUGUUUGGCACCUCGAUGUCGGCUCAUCACAUCCUGGGGCUGAAGUAGGUCCCAAGGGUAUGGCUGUUCGCCAUUUAAAGUGGUACGCGAGCUGGGUUUAGAACGUCGUGAGACAGUUCGGUCCCUAUCUGCCGUGGGCGCUGGAGAACUGAGGGGGGCUGCUCCUAGUACGAGAGGACCGGAGUGGACGCAUCACUGGUGUUCGGGUUGUCAUGCCAAUGGCACUGCCCGGUAGCUAAAUGCGGAAGAGAUAAGUGCUGAAAGCAUCUAAGCACGAAACUUGCCCCGAGAUGAGUUCUCCCUGACCCUUUAAGGGUCCUGAAGGAACGUUGAAGACGACGACGUUGAUAGGCCGGGUGUGUAAGCGCAGCGAUGCGUUGAGCUAACCGGUACUAAUGAACCGUGAGGCUUAACCUUACAACGCCGAAG